rfam:Ictidomys tridecemlineatus contig099234, whole genome shotgun sequence.
GGGGUUGUAGCUCAGUGGUAGAGCACUUGCCUAACAUGUGAGAGGACUGGGUUCAAUUCUCAGCAACACAU